CUCAGAAAUUAUUAAGAGUAUUGUCUGCCCAGUGACUGAUUGGUUUAACGGCCGCGUAUUAGUGCUAAGGUAGCAUAAUAAUUUGCCUUUUUAUUGAAGGCUAGUAUGAAUGGCAUAACGAAGCUUAACUGUCUCUAACUAUAUAAAAAAAAUUAGUAAAAAAGUGAAAAAACUUUUUUAUUAUUGAAGGACGAAAAGACCCUAUAGAGCUUUAAUAUAAUUAGUAAAUUAAGUUUAAAAAGAAAACUAUAUUAACCUAUAUAUUUUUAUUGGGGCAAUAGAAAAAAAAAUUUAACACGUAAUUUUGUUAUAACAAACAAAAAAAAACCUCAAAGAGAAUAAAUAUAAGCUACCUUAGGGAUAACAGCGUAAUCUUACCAGAGAGACCUAAUCAAAGGAAAGGUUUACGACCUCGAUGUUGGACUAAGAAAACCUGGAGGUGUAGAAGCCUUUAAAAGUUGGCCUGUUCGGCCAUUAA
rnacentral:rRNA from 1 species